rnacentral:rRNA from 1 species
UACGUAGGGAGCAAGCGUUGUCCGGAAUCAUUGGGCGUAAAGCGCGCGUAGGCGGCUCGAUCAGUCUGUUGUGAAAGUCAAAGGCUCAACCUUUGAAUGCCGAUGGAUACUGUCGAGCUAGAGUCCGGAAGAGGCGGGUGGAAUUCCUGGUGUAGCGGUGGAAUGCGCAGAUAUCAGGAGGAACACCAACGGCGAAGGCAGCCCGCUGGGACGGUACUGACGCUAAGGCGCGACAGCAUGGGGAGCAAACAGG